rnacentral:lncRNA from 1 species
CUCAGACUAACUUCAUUUUAGUUUGUCCCCAUGCCUGUAGUUUCCGAUCUGCUUUUGGUUUUAGCUUAUUAUUUGAGACCUAAUUUGAGCGUAACUUCUGACAAACAACAGCACGAGGCCAUAGGCUUUCUAUGCCUCUGCACUAAUACCUUUCUUUUUUUACACAUGUUGUAACAUCUCUAUGCACAGUGUAAACAUACCCUAACUAUCAAGUUUCCACUUGUUUAUCAUCAUUAAGGAAUAAUUUUCAAGUAGAAAUGAGCAAUUCUGCCUGAGAAAGAAUGUAAUCCAGCUCACGUGCCCAUACCAUUGCCAGCUUUUGUGGCAUAACCCAAACUGCAGCAUAUCCUCUUGAUUGCUUUAUGCCCUACUACAGAGGUUGUGAGUCUACUAACAUGUACUGUGUUAAGGUCCUAGUGCUUUACACACCAUGCAUGUGUAUGGUGAGCCUAUGCCCAUACUCCAAGGACUUAAGAGCAACAGAUGGACUUAUGUGCCUACUUCUCACAGGAGGUAUUACCUAAGAAGAUGGUUAUGACAGUCUGGGCCUUCUAUACUAAGUAGGAUGCAUCACUCUGCAAAUCCAUUGUUAUCCUGCCAUCAACCUGCAGACACAGAUACAGAUCUUUUCAUCUUGUUGCUUGUUUCCAGUCAAUGAGCUCCUCUAUCACAGGACAAGUGGAUUUCUGCAGCACUGCGUGGAUUGUCACUGACUCUGGAGAAGGACUUAGGGAACAUUUUCCUCACCAGUACCAGGAGGGGAAAGAGGCCGAGAGCACUGGCAGAAAGGGGAGUGCAUUGAUGGACAAGUCUGAGAGAGUUUUCAAAUUCAACUGUACAGGUUUUCCACUCUUGUGUACCCAACUCUUCUAAAAUAAUUCAAAAUUAGUUUCUUAAAUAUCUUUACUUUCUCAAUCAGUAUCUCUGGAAACAUAUUCUAGAUUUCUAGAUAUCUGAGAAUUUGUUCCUGCCAACAGAUAGCACAGAAAGUACCACAGUUUAGUCUUUUCCACUACUACAAUAUAACAUCUGGAUCUUUGGUCUCGAGGACAAAAGCUGGCUAAAACACAAAAAUUUGAAUGACAGGAUUUUUUUAAUUCUUUUUUCAUUUUUGAUCUGAGCUCACCAAAAGCUAACAUAAACAAACAAACAAAUAAAUAAAUACAUAAAGGGUUUCUCA